rnacentral:rRNA from 1 species
GUACACGCUGUGACUAGCAUAUCAAUAAGCGGAGGAAAAGAAACUAACAAGGAUUCCCUCAGUAACGGCGAGUGAAGCGGGAAGAGCUCAAAUUUGAAAUCUUGAAAGGUCACCUUUCACGAAUUGUAGUUUAAAGAAGUGUUUUCUGUUACGAUCGUAAUAUAAGUCCUUUGGAAUAGGACAUCACAGAGGGUGAGAAUCCCGUCUAUGAUUGCGAUUUGUAGCUUUGUGAUACACUUUCAAAGAGUCGGGUUGUUUGGGAAUGCAGCCCAAAACGGGAGGUAAAUUUCUUCUAAGGCUAGAUAUUGGCGAGAGACCGAUAGCGAACAAGUACCGUGAGGGAAAGAUGAAAAGAACUUUGAAAAGAGAGUUAAACAGUACGUGAAAUUGUCAAAAGGGAAGCGUUUGACACCAGUGUUGUUUUCUCGAAAAUCAAUUAAAAAUGGCUCGAUUUUGUAUUGCUUGAGACCUUAAAAGCUCACUGUACAUUUUUCGUGUCUUUUUUAAUGCACUUUUCGUUUAACAAGUCAACAUCAGUUUCUUUUGUUGUAAAAGGGUCAUUGGAAGGUGGCUUUCUUUUCGGAGAAAGUGUUUAUAGCCUUUGGCCUCUGCAAUCGGAGAGACUGAGGUCUGCAGCGUAGACUCUUCGGGGUUAGAUACAUUUGUGCUAAGUUAUAGCUUUUUAUAGACAACUUGUUGACUAUAAUUAGUCUUGUAGCUUACUCGCUUAUGCUAUUUUACCUACGCUUAGGAUGUUGAGUAGCGACAUACGCAC